CAGAUUGAACAUACUGUAUGGUCCUAACUGUGGGAUGAGAGACGUCUGUGAUUACUUUUUUCUGUUCAAAAUCUCUUGGCUGCUGAAACAAGGAAACCAUAUUAUAUUGUCAGGUUUCCAUAAUUUUUAUUGAAAACAAAAAAUGAAAUAUAUGGUCUACAUAAAAUGUGAAUCUCAAGAUAAAGGAAAAAUAAAUGUUAUUUUGGCAAACAAUGCAGUUACAUUGUUGCACGCUUGAUGUGUUAUUGGACUUUCCUUUUUGAUAUUUUUAAGUGUAAUAAAUCACUAUUUUCCUGUAUGGAUUUUGAGUAAGGCUAGAUUCAUCCAUAAAAAGCUUGUAUUGCUUUUAUGUUCUCUGUGGUUUCGGUCAGGUGGAUAGGAAGGAGGAUGUCUAUUAAGAAUUCUCUUAAAAUGUUGACACUGCUCUAACAUUGUUCUGUGAUGUGUGGCUCUACAUGAAGAUACAGAAUGACAGAUAUGUUAAUGGUGGAAUUAGUAGUUCAGCUACAUUACUGUCAAAAUUUGUUGCAGAUUUAUAGUUUAAUUUUCUGUUGUCACUGUUUUUUGUUUCAUAGUUUGAAUGAGAAAAUUGUGUGAAUUGUUAAUGCGGGUAGCAGUUUGACUGCAGAUAAUGGAAAUUUAAUGACUCUUCAUAUUUACAAGAAGUCAUUGUUAUGAAUAUUAGAUUUUCUUCCCCUGCCACUGUUCCAUAUAUAAAGAGUUACCGUAAUGAGACAUAAAUGCUUCUCAGACAAGUUUUGCUGUAAUUGUUAAAUUUUCAGACUAUUCAUUGCACUGCCAGUGCAUUACGAAAGCAGUUUAUUGCUAUUGUCGUUGGAAGGGGAGCAUAAAAUUGUUACAAUAAUUUAAAACUUCAAAUGGUUGUUGCAGUAUUACGAUGAUUUGUGACCUCCAUUUAAAACACCAUUAAUGAU
rnacentral:lncRNA from 1 species